GACGAACGCUGGCGGCGUGCCUAAUACAUGCAAGUCGAACGAACCGCGACUGAGUGCUUGCACUUGGUCAAGGUGAGUGGCGAACGGGUGAGUAACACGUGGGUAACCUACCUCAUAGUGGGGGAUAACAGUCGGAAACGACUGCUAAUACCGCAUAGGACAUAGGAUCACAUGAUCCAGUGAGGAAAGGUGGCGCAAGCUAUCGCUAAGAGAUGGACCCGCGGUGCAUUAGCUAGUUGGUAGGGUAAAGGCCUACCAAGGCGAUGAUGCAUAGCCGACCUGAGAGGGUGAUCGGCCACAUUGGGACUGAGACACGGCCCAAACUCCUACGGGAGGCAGCAGUAGGGAAUCUUCCGCAAUGGACGCAAGUCUAACGGAGCAACGCCGCGUGAGUGAAGAAGGUCUUCGGAUCGUAAAGCUCUGUUGUUAGAGAAGAACAGCGCAUAGAGUAACUGCUAUGCGUGUGACGGUAUCUAACCAGAAAGCCACGGCUAACUACGUG
rnacentral:rRNA from 1 species